rnacentral:rRNA from 1 species
GUGGGGAAUAUUGCACAAUGGGCGAAAGCCUGAUGCAGCGACGCCGCGUGAGCGAUGAAGUAUUUCGGUACGUAAAGCUCUAUCAGCAGGGAAGAUAAUGACGGUACCUGACUAAGAAGCACCGGCUAAAUACGUGCCAGCAGCCGCGGUAAUACGUAUGGUGCAAGCGUUAUCCGGAUUUACUGGGUGUAAAGGGAGCGUAGGCGGCGUGGUAAGUCAGAAGUGAAAGCCCGGGGCUCAACCCCGGGACUGCUUUUGAAACUAUCAUGCUAGAGUGUCGGAGAGGUAAGUGGAAUUCCUAGUGUAGCGGUGAAAUGCGUAGAUAUUAGGAGGAACACCAGUGGCGAAGGCGGCUUACUGGACGAUGUCUGACGCUGAGGCGCGAAAGCUAGGGGAGCGAACGGGAUUAGAAACCCCAGUAGUCC